AUGUCACUGGUUCGCGGUUAGUUCAAAACUAUAAAUCACGUCAGCAGCAAGAGCGAGAGAGUACAAAUACAAUUGAAACGUUAACCCUCAUUUUCAGUUCGCACAAUAGCUACAUUUAUACGGUCCUUACGAAACAGUGGCGGAAUUGGUGGAUUAGAGAAACGUAUUAAUGUACUUACAUAUGUUGAAAUAUACAGGGUGAAUCAUAAGAAGUAGAACAUUCGAACAUCUCUCUGACAAGAUUGAAGACUUCCUCUUUAACGUUAUUUGCAAGGUUUUUUCAAGGUCGCCGAUUUUAGUUCUAAGUAAUAGUAAUAGUGCCACGAUUUGCAUUCAACCUGCGUGGGAAAUAAUCAUACAACAGGGUAUACAUAACUUAAUAUUGAGACGCGUCAUUGUUCCGUUUUAAUGUAAUAUACAUUUCGGCGAACCGACUCAUUAUCAGAUAAGCCUUCGACAGCAAAGGCGGGAACUCCAUCUCAAACAUAAGAAAAUACGCUGUAUCGGUUGUUGAAAGGCGAAAAACCUCGGAAACAAGAAGAGAAAACCCGAUUUCAACGCCGUCACGUACAGCGUAUUUCCCGGUCGUCUGCUAGGUCGUUUCAAGGGCGGCACAAUCAAAUUCCCCAUCGGAGAACCCGAGGAGAUUUACUGCUGGCUUUGGAUCGAGAGAAGCCUACUUAUUGUUUCAUCUGGAAUCUAUCUUCUACUGCGAUUUAAUAUGUAUUGCUAAUUAUUGCAUUGUCCGCGUGUAUAUUUGAUCGAGAUCUCAAUGAACCGUGUGCAAUUUACAACGUAAAAUGAUUCGAGAUCCCCCUGAUUUCCACGGAUUAAGAAGUGUUCGUGUUCCGUGAUACUUAUUCAAAUUUGUGCAGAUGCUCGUUACAGACAUCUCCAUUAACGGAAGUAAAUGAACUUCAUUAGCAUGUAAUUUUUGAUAAGAGAAUGUUUACUUUCUCCGGUAGGUGGAUUAUAAAUAAACUUUAUACACCACCAUAAUUAAGGUGUAUUAACGUGUAAACGAAAGCUAAUGAAGAUGACAAUUUUAAUGUCAA